UUUUAUGGAGAGUUUGAUCCUGGCUCAGGAUGAACGCUGGCGGCGUGCCUAAUACAUGCAAGUCGAGCGAACGGACGAGAAGCUUGCUUCUCUAAUGUUAGCGGCGGACGGGUGAGUAACACGUGGAUAACCUACCUAUAAGACUGGGAUAACUUCGGGAAACCGGAGCUAAUACCGGAUAAUAUUUUGAACCGCAUGGUUCAAAAGUGAAAGACGGUCUUGCUGUCACUUAUAGAUGGAUCCGCGCUGCAUUAGCUAGUUGGUAAGGUAACGGCUUACCAAGGCAACGAUGCAUAGCCGACCUGAGAGGGUGAUCGGCCACACUGGAACUGAGACACGGUCCAGACUCCUACGGGAGGCAGCAGUAGGGAAUCUUCCGCAAUGGGCGAAAGCCUGACGGAGCAACGCCGCGUGAGUGAUGAAGGUCUUCGGAUCGUAAAACUCUGUUAUUAGGGAAGAACAUAUGUGUAAGUAACUGUGCACAUCUUGACGGUACCUAAUCAGAAAGCCACGGCUAACUACGUGCCAGCAGCCGCGGUAAUACGUAGGUGGCAAGCGUUAUCCGGAAUUAUUGGGCGUAAAGCGCGCGUAGGCGGUUUUUUAAGUCUGAUGUGAAAGCCCACGGCUCAACCGUGGAGGGUCAUUGGAAACUGGAAAACUUGAGUGCAGAAGAGGAAAGUGGAAUUCCAUGUGUAGCGGUGAAAUGCGCAGAGAUAUGGAGGAACACCAGUGGCGAAGGCGACUUUCUGGUCUGUAACUGACGCUGAUGUGCGAAAGCGUGGGGAUCAAACAGGAUUAGAUACCCUGGUAGUCCACGCCGUAAACGAUGAGUGCUAAGUGUUAGGGGGUUUCCGCCCCUUAGUGCUGCAGCUAACGCAUUAAGCACUCCGCCUGGGGAGUACGACCGCAAGGUUGAAACUCAAAGGAAUUGACGGGGACCCGCACAAGCGGUGGAGCAUGUGGUUUAAUUCGAAGCAACGCGAAGAACCUUACCAAAUCUUGACAUCCUUUGACAACUCUAGAGAUAGAGC
rnacentral:rRNA from 2 species